GGCACUAUAGCUCAGUGGUUAAAGAGCACUCCAGCAUGUAAUGGGGAGGUCUUGGGUUCGAAUCCCAGUAGAGCCA